UGGGGAAUAUUGCACAAUGGAGGGAACUCUGAUGCAGCGACGCCGCGUGAACGAAGAAGGCUUUCGAGUCGUAAAGUUCUUUUAUAUGGGAAGAUAAUGACGGUACCAUAAGAAAAAGCCCCGGCUAACUACGUGCCAGCAGCCGCGGUAAUACGUAGGGGGCUAGCGUUGUCCGGAAUCACUGGGCGUAAAGGGUUCGCAGGCGGAAAUGCAAGUCAGGUGUAAAAGGCAGUAGCUUAACUACUGUAAGCAUUUGAAACUGCAUAUCUUGAGAAGAGUAGAGGUAAGUGGAAUUUUUAGUGUAGCGGUGAAAUGCGUAGAUAUUAAAAAGAAUACCGGUGCCGAAGGCGACUUACUGGGCUCAUUCUGACGCUGAGGAACGAAAGCGUGGGUAGCAAACAGG
rnacentral:rRNA from 1 species